rnacentral:rRNA from 1 species
GAUGAACGCUAGCUACAGGCUUAACACAUGCAAGUCGAGGGGCAGCGGGAUUGAAGCUUGCUUCAAUUGCCGGCGACCGGCGCACGGGUGAGUAGCGCGUAUCCAACCUUCCGUACACUCAGGGAUAGCCUUUCGAAAGAAAGAUUAAUACCUGAUGGUAUCUUAAGCACACAUGUAAUUAAGAUUAAAGAUUUAUCGGUGUACGAUGGGGAUGCGUUCCAUUAGGUAGUAGGCGGGGUAACGGCCCACCUAGCCAACGAUGGAUAGGGGUUCUGAGAGGAAGGUCCCCCCACAUUGGAACUGAGACACGGUCCAAACUCCUACGGGAGGCAGCAGUGAGGAGUAUUGGUCAAUGGACGAGAGUCUGAACCAGCCAAGUAGCGUGAAGGAUGAAGGUCCUACGGAUUGUAAACUUCUUUAUAAGGGAAUAAACCCUCCCACGUGUGGGAGCUUGUAUGUACCUUAUGAAUAAGCAUCGGCUAACUCCGUG